GAUGAACGCUGGCGGCGUGCCUAAUACAUGCAAGUCGAGCGAACAGACGAGAAGCUUGCUCCUCUGAUGUUAGCGGCGGACGGGUGAGUAACACGUGGAUAACCUACCUAUAAGACUGGGAUAACUUCGGGAAACCGGAGCUAAUACCGGAUAAUAUAUUGAACCGCAUGGUUCAAUAGUGAAAGACGGUCUUGCUGUCACUUAUAGAUGGAUCCGCGCUGCAUUAGCUAGUUGGUAAGGUAACGGCUUACCAAGGCAACGAUGCGUAGCCGACCUGAGAGGGUGAUCGGCCACACUGGAACUGAGACACGGUCCAGACUCCUACGGGAGGCAGCAGUAGGGAAUCUUCCGCAAUGGGCGAAAGCCUGACGGAGCAACGCCGCGUGAGUGAUGAAGGUCUUCGGAUCGUAAAACUCUGUUAUUAGGGAAGAACAAAUGUGUAAGUAACUGUGCACAUCUUGACGGUACCUAAUCAGAAAGCCACGGCUAACUACGUG
rnacentral:rRNA from 1 species